rnacentral:rRNA from 1 species
UAACAAGGUCUCCGUUGGUGAACCAGCGGAGGGAUCAUUACAG